rnacentral:rRNA from 1 species
UACGUAGGGGGCAAGCGUUGCCCGGAUUUACUGGGCGUAAAGGGCGCGUAGGCGGCCACCGCAAGUCGACUGUGAAAUCUCCGGGCUUAACCCGGAAAGGUCAGCCGAUACUGCGGGGCUAGAGUGCAGAAGGGGCAACUGGAAUUCUCGGUGUAGCGGUGAAAUGCGUAGAUAUCGAGAGGAACACCUGCGGCGAAGGCGGGUUGCUGGGCUGACACUGACGCUGAGGCGCGAAAGCUAGGGGAGCGAACGGG